UACGGAGGGUGCAAGCGUGAUCCGGAUUCACUGGGUUUAAAGGGUGCGUAGGCGGGCAGGUAAGUCAGUGGUGAAAUCUCCGAGCUUAACUCGGAAACUGCCAUUGAUACUAUUUGUCUUGAAUAUUGUGGAGGUAAGCGGAAUAUGUCAUGUAGCGGUGAAAUGCUUAGAUAUGACAUAGAACACCAAUUGCGAAGGCAGCUUACUACACAAUGAUUGACGCUGAGGCACGAAAGCGUGGGGAUCAAACAGG
rnacentral:rRNA from 1 species